UAUUACUUGUAGUGCUGUGAGCAGAGGUACAGCUUCACAGGGUCACAGGAAAAAAAAUCUAAAUAUGUCUGUUCACAAAGAGAGCUGAGUGUUUAUUCGCUCCACGGGGAAAGCCCUAGUUAUGGCAGGGAGAAAUGAGAUGACCUUAGUGGAUGCUGAAGAGGACCAUCCAGGAGGAACGGACGGAUGUCAUGUGUCUGAGGAGGACGCGCCGUUUCCCAUGGGGUGUACCAUUCGGGAAGUCCAACACGGACAGCAUCAGGAGGAAAUGGCAGACAAAGGCAAAGCAAAGAAGACUUUGAUGACAUUUACAGGCUACCUUCAGAGGGCAUGGAUUUGACACAUGGCUCAUUUUUGCAUAUUUCCUACCCCCAGUGAAAUGUUUAGGGAGGUUCAGAAGAACAUCGUCUAUGCAAGUCUCUCCUCAGAUUCACUGUCCACGGGAUGUGUCACCGUUAUGAAACACUCCUCACAGAGGUCCAAAACCUGCCCACUUGUUUCCUCUGAACAGAUGGCUGCUCCCUGCGGGGACCCUGACUGGCAGUGCUGAUGUAUGACAGAGGACGUCACAUGAAAAUAAAGUAGAAGGGGGACUAUCUGGGAAGGGUUUGGAAGAGGAAGGGGACAAGAGAUGGCCAUGGGUCGUGAGGGGGUGACUAUAAUAAAAACUCAUUACAUACAUGCAUGAAAAUGUUAUGAUAAAGCCACUAUAUAGACAUACCUAAUAUAGCCUAAUAAAAAUGAUUAAAA